AAGGAGAACUUAGGUUUUAGCCGAAACCUAAAUUUUCCUUCCCUUCUCCCUCGCGACGGCGUCUCCCUUUCUUGGGCGAAAACCGCAACACGCACCUAGGCGACUCUGGCGGCCAGCGAGCUCCCUCCUCCACGGAUUCUUCACAAAUCCGAGCUUCUCUCGGUAAAGAGAGCGCGCGGUCACAAGAAGAGGCCGAAAGUUGCAAGUUUCCAAACCCUAGAACCUCCUUCCUCCUUCGGUUGGGGGCUCAUCCGAACCCUAGAUCUCCCUCUUGGUUAUAAAGGAAAAGCUAAAGUAUAAAGAGGAAAGCGACAAGGAGAUGCGUGAUGGAUGGUGUGUGAUGUUGGACUGUGGGAGAGAUCUGGGAACAUUAUUAAGUUAUUUGAGUUUUGGUGAAAACAUCUGAGACUGUAUCAUUUAUUCUAGAUAAAGGAAAAGCUAAAGUAUAAAGAGGAAGGCGACAAGGAGAUGUGUGAUGGAUGGUGUGUGAUGAUGGACUGUGGGAGAGAUCUGGGAACAUUAUUAAGUUAUUUGAGUUUUGGUGAAAACAUCUGAGACUGUAUCAUUUAUUCUAGGUCCAUGAGAUUAUCUUUGGUUCUAGAUUGCAUGCUUUGAUGUAAUUGUUAGUAAGUUAGUACUUUGAUGCUUUCUUGAGUUAUAGUUUUGAUAUAUUUCUGUUAGUAUA